AGUUUGACUGGGGCGGUCUCCUCCCAAAGAGUAACGGAGGAGCACGAAGGUGGGCUAAUCACGGUUGGACAUCGUGAGGUUAGUGCAAUGGCAUAAGCCCGCUUAACUGCGAGAAUGACGGUUCGAGCAGGUGCGAAAGCAGGUCAUAGUGAUCCGGUGGUUCUGUAUGGAAGGGCCAUCGCUCAACGGAUAAAAGGUACUCCGGGGAUAACAGGCUGAUACCGCCCAAGAGUUCAUAUCGACGGCGGUGUUUGGCACCUCGAUGUCGGCUCAUCACAUCCUGGGGCUGAAGUCGGUCCCAAGGGUAUGGCUGUUCGCCAUUUAAAGUGGUACGCGAGCUGGGUUUAGAACGUCGUGAGACAGUUCGGUCCCUAUCUGCCGUGGGCGUUGGAAGAUUGAAGGGGGCUGCUCCUAGUACGAGAGGACCGGAGUGGACGAACCUCUGGUGUUCGGGUUGUGUCGCCAGACGCAUUGCCCGGUAGCUAAGUUCGGAAUUGAUAAGCGCUGAAAGCAUCUAAGCGCGAAGCGAGCCCUGAGAUGAGUCUUCCCUGAUACUUUAAGUAUCCUAAAGGGUUGUUCGAGACUAGAACGUUGAUAGGCAGGGUGUGUAAGCGUUGUGAGGCGUUGAGCUAACCUGUACUAAUUGCCCGUGAGGCUUAACCAU
rnacentral:rRNA from 1 species